GAUGAACGCUGGCGGUAUGCUUUACACAUGCAAGUCGUACGAGAGUUUUUAACUCAAGUGGCGGACGGGUGAGUAACACGUAAGAAUUUGCCUUUAGGAGGGGGAUAACAACUGGAAACGGUUGCUAAUACCCCAUAUGCUUUCGAGUGAAACGGUAUUUCCGCCUAAAGAGAAGCUUGCGCCUGAUUAGCUUGUUGGUGAGGUAAUGGCUCACCAAGGCGACGAUCAGUAUCUGGUUUGAGAGGACGAUCAGACACACUGGAACUGAGACACGGUCCAGACUCCUACGGGAGGCAGCAGUGGGGAAUUUUCCGCAAUGGGCGAAAGCCUGACGGAGCAAUACCGCGUGAGGGAUGACGGCCUAUGGGUUGUAAACCUCUUUUUCAGGGAGGAACAAAAUGACGUGUACCUGAAGAAUAAGCAUCGGCUAACUCCGUG
rnacentral:rRNA from 1 species